UGUGAGGGUUGCUGGAGGUAUCAGAAGUGCGAAUGCUGACAUAAGUAACGAUAAAGCGGGUGAAAAGCCCGCUCGCCGGAAGACCAAGGGUUCCUGUCCAACGUUAAUCGGGGCAGGGUGAGUCGACCCCUAAGGCGAGGCCGAAAGGCGUAGUCGAUGGGAAACGGGUUAAUAUUCCCGUACUUGGUGUUACUGCGAAGGGGGGACGGAGAAGGCUAUGUUGGCCGGGCGACGGUUGUCCCGGUUUAAGCGUGUAGGCUGGUUUUCCAGGCAAAUCCGGAAAAUCAAGGCUGAGGCGUGACGACGAGGCACUACGGUGCUGAAGCAACAAAUGCCCUGCUUCCAGGAAAAGCCUCUAAGCAUCAGGUAACACGAAAUCGUACCCCAAACCGACACAGGUGGUCAGGUAGAGAAUACCAAGGCGCUUGAGAGAACUCGGGUGAAGGAACUAGGCAAAAUGGUGCCGUAACUUCGGGAGAAGGCACGCUGACACGUAGGUGAAGUGAUUUACUCAUGGAGCUGAAGUCAGUCGAAGAUACCAGCUGGCUGCAACUGUUUAUUAAAAACACAGCACUGUGCAAACACGAAAGUGGACGUAUACGGUGUGACGCCUGCCCGGUGCCGGAAGGUUAAUUGAUGGGGUCAGCGCAAGCGAAGCUCCUGAUCGAAGCCCCGGUAAACGGCGGCCGUAACUAUAACGGUCCUAAGGUAGCGAAAUUCCUUGUCGGGUAAGUUCCGACCUGCACGAAUGGCGUAAUGAUGGCCAGGCUGUCUCCACCCGAGACUCAGUGAAAUUGAACUCGCUGUGAAGAUGCAGUGUACCCGCGGCAAGACGGAAAGACCCCGUGAACCUUUACUAUAGCUUGACACUGAACAUUGAGCCUUGAUGUGUAGGAUAGGUGGGAGGCUUUGAAGCGUGGACGCCAGUCUGCGUGGAGCCGACCUUGAAAUACCACCCUUUAAUGUUUGAUGUUCUAACGUGGACCCGUAAUCCGGGUUGCGGACAGUGUCUGGUGGGUAGUUUGACUGGGGCGGUCUCCUCCUAAAGAGUAACGGAGGAGCACGAAGGUUGGCUAAUCCUGGUCGGACAUCAGGAGGUUAGUGCAAUGGCAUAAGCCAGCUUGACUGCGAGCGUGACGGCGCGAGCAGGUGCGAAAGCAGGUCAUAGUGAUCCGGUGGUUCUGAAUGGAAGGGCCAUCGCUCAACGGAUAAAAGGUACUCCGGGGAUAACAGGCUGAUACCGCCCAAGAGUUCAUAUCGACGGCGGUGUUUGGCACCUCGAUGUCGGCUCAUCACAUCCUGGGGCUGAAGUAGGUCCCAAGGGUAUGGCUGUUCGCCAUUUAAAGUGGUACGCGAGCUGGGUUUAGAACGUCGUGAGACAGUUCGGUCCCUAUCUGCCGUGGGCGCUGGAGAACUGAGGGGGGCUGCUCCUAGUACGAGAGGACCGGAGUGGACGCAUCACUGGUGUUCGGGUUGUCAUGCCAAUGGCACUGCCCGGUAGCUAAAUGCGGAAGAGAUAAGUGCUGAAAGCAUCUAAGCACGAAACUUGCCCCGAGAUGAGUUCUCCCUGAGACUUAGAGUCUCCUGAAGGAACGUUGAAGACGACGACGUUGAUAGGCCGGGUGUGUAAGCGCAGCGAUGCGUUGAGCUAACCGGUACUAAUGAACCGUGAGGCUUAACCUU
rnacentral:rRNA from 1 species